rnacentral:rRNA from 1 species
UACGUAGGGUGCGAGCGUUGUCCGGAAUUAUUGGGCGUAAAGGGCUCGUAGGCGGUUUGUCGCGUCGGGAGUGAAAACACUGGGCUUAACUCAGUGCUUGCUUCCGAUACGGGCAGACUAGAGGUAUGCAGGGGAGAACGGAAUUCCUGGUAUAGCGGUGAAAUGCGCAGAUAUCAGGAGGAACACCGGUGGCGAAGGCGGUUCUCUGGGCAUUACCUGACGCUGAGGAGCGAAAGUGUGGGGAGCGAACAGG